AACACUUCCGUUGUCGUUUGUGGUACUUGCAGCGCGUUUCUGUAUUUGUUUGUGUUGCGAGAAUUUGCAGGGCAUGUGUCGCCAAACUAAUGAAGAUGCUUUCUGAAUUUGCUGGUGUUUUUUCGGUUUGCAUGUGUUUUCUUCCGUUGCAGCGCGGUGACACCUAGCGGCCUCCGUUAUCAGGGAAUAUUUCGAACCUUGUCAUCAAGCUGUGAUCUCAAUAUGUGGAGCGACUGAUGUGUGUACAUUACAGCAGGUUACUUCAUUAGAAUAUGCACCUAUGUAAGCAGACACUUUACACAAGUGGAAGAAACGUUUCACUCACCUGUACACAUCAUAAACCCAGAUGAAAGGACACUUUAAAAACAUACUUUAUUGGCAUAUACUGUAUGUUCCCCUCCACCCUGCCUUUGGAAAUCUCCUUCAAACAGCGCGCGCCUGUUGAAGAGAGCAGAACUGUUUGCUCUCUGGGUCGGUAUCUCUGAUAAAUGUUACCUGGUCCAGGUAUGUUCUACAAAGUACCAUAAUAGAAAGACUCAAGUGUGGUGGGGUGAAAUCAGCAUGAAAGCACAUUAAACAUGCACACAUGCACACACAGGUUGGUGUAAAUGUUGACCCAGAGUGAUUGUAGGCAUGUGUUGUUAGAUGUGUCAGAUACAGGGGAAACUCUUCACCUUUGCGUGUUUGUCUUCAGUCUUUUUCUGCUAGUGUGAACAGGGAAACGAGAGAAGCCUAUACGUCUCUGAGCACCCAAACACGGAAGUAACCAGGACACACCCGGGGUCAUAAAGUGUGGCAAAGGGCCAAACCUUUGGAUCGCAGAUAGGUAGGCAAUACCUGAAGCACAACUCCUGGUAAAUGAACAAUAGUUCAAAAGAAUAGAGAGAUUAAUGCGUUAAUGUUAGAAAGGUUAUAAGCAUUACUCUCUCAUAUGACACGAAAUACAGCAGCCUAUACAUUUCUUAUCCUUUUCGUAUGACCUGCAUUGUAUAUGUGAUGUUGUAACGCAGUCUUGUUUUUUUAUUAAAUAUGACACUAAUAUUUUACUUUUUUUUUUUUCUUUCUUUAUAAUAUUGAUAUUUUUUUAAUCAUUGAACAAACUGUUUCAAAAACGUACGGACUAAAUACAAAUGCUGUACAUGUUGCGGAUGGUAACCAGCCCACAUUUAAGCUCUUGAAAUGUUUCGGGCUCUUUAAAUGUGGCUGUGAAAUAACUUGCACAUCAGGUUGGUGCAUUGGCCACAGAGAUCUGCACCUGCCUCAUCUCUGACCAGGAUGCGGUUUUUGAAUUGCCGACUAUUGUCAAAGUCACAUUGCGUGGAAAAGCUCAGACACAACGUGUACACGCCCGCUGCAUUUAUAUUACACAGCCUCUGGCGGCCUCGCCCUUCCCAAUA